CUCGUAGGUGGCCAACUAAGUCGGACGUGAAAUCCCUCGGCUUAACCGGGGAACUGCGUCCGAUACUGGUUGGCUUGAGUUUGGGAGAGGGAUGCGGAAUUCCAGGUGUAGCGGUGAAAUGCGUAGAUAUCUGGAGGAACACCGGUGGCGAAGGCGGCAUCCUGGACCAAUACUGACGCUGAGGAGCGAAAGCCAGGGGAGGCAAAACGG
rnacentral:rRNA from 1 species